rnacentral:rRNA from 1 species
GACGAACGCUGGCGGCGUGCCUAACACAUGCAAGUCGAACGGAAAGGCGCGUUCGGGGGUCCUCGUGUGGCGGACGGGUGAGUAACACGUGCGUAACCUUCCCUUGACUUGUGGAUAACGACAGGAAACUGGGGCGAAUACCAGUAAGGAAUCCUUGCGGCAGGGAGGGGGUUGGUAAGCUUGGGCGGUUUUUGAUGGACUAGCGGCUGAUCAGCUGGUUGGUUGGGUAGUGGCUUACCAAGGCGUUGACGGGUCGCCGGCCCGAGAGGGGGACCGGGCACAAUGGGCCUGCGAGAGGGCGCAGACGCCUACGGGCGGCAGUAGGGGGGAAUCUUGCCGAAUGGGCGGAAGCCAGAUGCGGAAGCGCUGCGUGCGGGAUGACGGCCUUCGGGUUGUAAACCGGUUUCAGCAGGGGAGAAGCUUGUGGUGACGGUACCUUAAGAAGAAGCACCGGCUAACUACGUG